rnacentral:rRNA from 1 species
CUAUACAUGCAGUCGAGCGAACAGAUAAGGAGCUUGCUCCUUUGACGUUAGCGGCGGACGGGUGAGUAACACGUGGGUAACCUACCUAUAAGACUGGAAUAACUCCGGGAAACCGGGGCUAAUGCCGGAUAACAUUUAGAACCGCAUGGUUCUAAAGUGAAAGAUGGUUUUGCUAUCACUUAUAGAUGGACCCGCGCCGUAUUAGCUAGUUGGUAAGGUAACGGCUUACCAAGGCAACGAUACGUAGCCGACCUGAGAGGGUGAUCGGCCACACUGGAACUGAGACACGGUCCAGACUCCUACGGGAGGCAGCAGUAGGGAAUCUUCCGCAAUGGGCGAAAGCCUGACGGAGCAACGCCGCGUGAGUGAUGAAGGUCUUCGGAUCGUAAAACUCUGUUAUUAGGGAAGAACAAAUGUGUAAGUAACUGUGCACGUCUUGACGGUACCUAAUCAGAAAGCCACGGCUAACUACGUGCCAGCAGCCGCGGUAAUACGUAGGUGGCAAGCGUUAUCCGGAAUUAUUGGGCGUAAAGCGCGCGUAGGCGGUUUCUUAAGUCUGAUGUGAAAGCCCACGGCUCAACCGUGGAGGGUCAUUGGAAACUGGGAAACUUGAGUGCAGAAGAGGAAAGUGGAAUUCCAUGUGUAGCGGUGAAAUGCGCAGAGAUAUGGAGGAACACCAGUGGCGAAGGCGACUUUCUGGUCUGUAACUGACGCUGAUGUGCGAAAGCGUGGGGAUCAAACAGGAUUAGAUACCCUGGUAGUCCACGCCGUAAACGAUGAGUGCUAAGUGUUAGGGGGUUUCCGCCCCUUAGUGCUGCAGCUAACGCAUUAAGCACUCCGCCUGGGGAGUACGACCGCAANGUUGAACCUCAAAGGAAUUGACGGGGACCCGCACAAGCGGUGGAGCAUGUGGUUUAAUUCGAAAUCAACGCGAGAACCUUACCAAAUCUUGACAUCCUUUGACAACUCUAGAGAUAGAGCCUUCCCCUUCGGGGGACAAAGUGACAGGUGGUGCAUGGUU